rnacentral:rRNA from 1 species
GACGAACGCUGGCGGCGUGCUUAACACAUGCAAGUCGAGCGGAGCGGCGAACGGGUGAGUAACGAGUGAGUAACUGCACCCCUCUCUGGGAUAAAAGUUGGAAAAGGAUGCUAAUACCGGAUAUUGGGGGAUGACUCGCGUCCUAUCAGCUUUUUGGUGGGGUAGUGGCCUACCAAGGCGAGGCCGGGUAGCCGGCCUGAGAGGGCGACCGGCCACAUUGGGCUGAGAUACGGCCCAAACUCCUACGGGAGGCAGCAGUGGGGAAUAUGGCCCAAUGGGGGAAACUCUGAUGCAGCAACGCCGCGUGCGGGAUGACGGCCUUCGGGUUGUAAACCGCUUUCAGCCAUGACGCGGUAUUGGCAGAAGAAGCACCGGCUAACUACGUGCCAGCAGCCGCGGUAAUUC